UACAGAGACUGCAAGCGUUUAUUCGGGUAUUCACUGGGCGAUGAAAGGGUGCGCAGGCGGUUGGGUGUGUCAGAUGUGAAAUCCCGAGGCUUAACCUCGGAACUGCGUCUGAAACUACUCGACUAGAGUACUGGAGAGGGUAACGGAAUUCACGGUGUAGCAGUGAAAUGCGUAGAUAUCGUGAGGAACACCAGAGGCGAAGGCGGUUACCUGGACAGUUACUGACGCUCAGGCACGAAAGCAUGGGGAGCAAAAGGG
rnacentral:rRNA from 1 species